GAGGCCCUGAGGAAAGGGCAAAGAGGAUGCUGGAGCCACGAGGAAGUGGCCAGAGAAUUUGCUGCAGUAGCCACUAAGGAAAGUGGCUGAACAGCAGACUGCAGGUCCCCUGGAAGGUGGCGGGAGGGGAAGCACAGUGUGUGGCAUGGCCCGAGGGCUGUGUCGCUGAAGAGGACAUUGCGGUCCUUGGAGAGACAUGGGUCCUAGCGCAGGAGUGAUGGUGGUGAGGCACCACCUGAAGAGGGUGCACUAACAUGCAGAGCUUAUCCACAAGACAGCCAGAAGGAGGUGCCAGAGUGUGAUACACAUCACAUCCUCAUGCCUCAUCUACAGUACAACACAUCCCUACUACUGCAGUCCUGGAGACUUCAUGCAGAUCUGCCUGCAAUGGGUUUAAAAUGUACACAGCUAGAGAUAAAUUUGAGAUGAUCAGUGCCAUUAGAUUUGUGAUUUCAGCCAGGGCAUGAACUCUUGUCUUCCAAAAUGAAAAAGAGCCAUGUUUCCUAUCCUCCCCCUGCAUCAGCUGCUACCAUAGCUAUAUACAUGACAAUGGUGGAAGUCAAUAUCCGUUCAGGCUGCUUCACGUGAUGGUUUGUGGGAAAGAAUCCAGAGGUGCAGAAUCCAAG